GAUGAACGCUGGCGGCGUGCCUAAUACAUGCCAGUCGAGCGAACAGACGAUGAGCUUGCGCCGCUGACGUUAGCGGCGGACGGGUGAGUAACACGUGUAUAACCUACCUAUAAGACUGGGAUAACUUCGGGAAACCGGAGCUAAUACCGGAUAAUAUAUUGAACCGCAUUGGGCAAUAGUGAAAGACGGUGGUGCGGGAACGUAUAGAUGGAUCCGCGCCGGAUGAGAUAGUUGGGAAGUUAACAGGUUACCAAGGGAACGAGGCGUAAACGAACUGAGGGGCGGAUCGGCGACACUGGAACUGAGCCACGGUCCAGGCUACUACGGGAGGGAGCAGUAUGGUACGUUACGCAGUGGGCGAGAGUAUGACGGAGCAACGCGGCGUGAGUGAUGACGGCCUUGGGAUCGUAAAACUCUGCUAUUAGGUAAGAACAAAUGUGUCAGUAAAUAUGCCGGUAGUGACGGUAACUAGUCAGAAAGCAACGGCUAACUACGUG
rnacentral:rRNA from 1 species